rnacentral:rRNA from 2 species
UGGGGAAUAUUGCGCAAUGGGGGAAACCCUGACGCAGCAACGCCGCGUGAAGGAUGAAGGCUUUCGGGUUGUAAACUUCUUUGAUCGGGGACGAAGAUGGCGGUACCCGGGGAACAAGCCACGGCUAACUACGUGCCAGCAGCCGCGGUAAUACGUAGGUGGCAAGCGUUGUCCGGAAUUACUGGGUGUAAAGGGCGUGUAGGCGGGGCGGCAAGUCAGAUGUGAAAUACCGUGGCUUAACUGCGGGGGUGCAUCUGAAACUGCUGCUCUUGAGUGUCGGAGAGGAAAGUGGAAUUCCUAGUGUAGCGGUGAAAUGCGUAGAUAUUAGGAGGAACACCAGUGGCGAAGGCGGCUUUCUGGACGACAACUGACGCUGAGGCGCGAAAGCGUGGGGAGCAAACAGG